rnacentral:rRNA from 1 species
GGCCGAAGGCGAGCGCAGUGACUGGGGCGAAGUCGUAACAAGGUAGCCGUAGGGGAACCUGCGGCUGGAUCACCUCCUUAACGGA